UCCUGCGAACCAUCUUGUAUGGGCGCCCCCAGGGA
rnacentral:sRNA from 1 species